rnacentral:ncRNA from 1 species
UAAAAAUUUAUUUAAUUUUUUUUUUACAUGUAAAUUUUCGUAUGUUUUUAAUUAAAUUUAAAUAGUUUAUUUAAAAAAAUUUAUUCACAGUAUUUAAUUUUAAUAAUUUAAGAAAUUAAGAAUUAGAAAUAAAUUUUAAUAUUAACAAAUUUUGUGCCAGCAGUUGCGGUUAUACAAAAAAUGUAAAUAAAUUUUGUUAGUAAGUAAAUAUAUGAAUUAUUAAUUUUAAAUUAAAAUUUUAUUUAUUAGGUGAAAUUUGAAAUAAAAAAUUAAUUUAUAAAAAAGUUUUUAAUAUUAUGAAAUUUAUAUUUAAACUAGGAUUAGAUACCCUAUUAUUUUAAAUGUAAAAUAAAUUAUUAAAGUAGUAUUAGUUAUGUUCUUGAAAUUUAAAAAUUUUGGCGGUAUUUUAGUCUAUUUAGAGGAACCUGUUCUAUAAUUGAUAUUCCACGAUUAACUUUACUUAUUUUAUAAAUUUGUAUAUCGUUGUUAUUAGAAGAUUUUAAUAGAAAAUAAAUUUUUAAUAUUUUAUAUUAUAAAAUAUAUCAAAUCAAGGUGCAGUAUAUAUUUAAGAAGAAAUGGGUUACAAUAAAAAUAUUUAAACGGAUUAAAUUUUUAAUAAAAUUUAUAAAGGUGGAUUUAAUAGUAAUAAAAUUAAAUUAAAUUUUAUGAUUUUAGCUCUAAAAUAUGUACAUAUCGCCCGUCGCUCUUAUUAUAAAAUAAGAUAAGUCGUAACAUAGUAGAUGUACUGGAAAGUGUAUCUAGAAUAAC